rnacentral:rRNA from 1 species
UAGGGAAUCUUCCACAAUGGACGCAAGUCUGAUGGAGCAACGCCGCGUGAGUGAAGAAGGUCUUCGGAUCGUAAAACUCUGUUGUUAGAGAAGAACAUGCGAGAGAGUAACUGUUCUUGUAUUGACGGUAUCUAACCAGAAAGCCACGGCUAACUACGUGCUAG